rnacentral:rRNA from 1 species
GAUGAACGCUAGCUACAGGCUUAACACAUGCAAGUCGAGGGGAAACGAUAUUGGAAGCUUGCUUCCGAUAGGCGUCGACCGGCGCACGGGUGAGUAACGCGUAUCCAACCUGUCCAUCACUUGGGGAUAACCUUGCGAAAGUAAGACUAAUACCCAAUGAUAUCUCAAGAAGACAUCUCAAUGAGAUUAAAGAUUUAUCGGUGAUGGAUGGGGAUGCGUCUGAUUAGCUUGUUGGCGGGGUAACGGCCCACCAAGGCGACGAUCAGUAGGGGUUCUGAGAGGAAGGUCCCCCACAUUGGAACUGAGACACGGUCCAAACUCCUACGGGAGGCAGCAGUGAGGAAUAUUGGUCAAUGGGCGAGAGCCUGAACCAGCCAAGUAGCGUGCAGGAUGACGGCCCUAUGGGUUGUAAACUGCUUUUAUAAGGGAAUAAAGUGAGCCUCGUGAGGCUUUUUGCAUGUACCUUAUGAAUAAGGACCGGCUAAUUCCGUGCCAGCCGCCGCAGUAA